UAGAGGACCUCAGAGAAGUGUAUUCCGAAGAGGCUGAAGAAGGAACACGUACCAUGGAUGGCAUCUACAUCCCGGGAUUCCGGCUUAGCUUCCGUCUGUGGCGGAGGAUGACCCACCGUAAGCGUCGCCAGUCCUGCUCCUGUUCUCCCAACACCUCGGCUCUGUCCAGCCCCUAUGAAGAGGUGGUCAGCUACCAGAGACGACCUGACGACCCGCACAGA